GCCAAGUGUUGUGUGGCGUAUCAGGCGUCGCAUUGAGCUAAGGGGAUUGAGAGACCUGAUCAACCUUUUUUUUCCCUGAACCUUGUAUGUGAGGUGACUUCUAAGUUGACUGUGGACUAGGUCUAUUUAUUUUCAUUUGGGCCAGAUUGUGUCAGUAGCAGACGUAUUAUGUGUUCUUUACAGUCCCGAGACCCCACUUUUCAGGAUGUUGGUGAAUUUCAGGAGGGGUGAAUGUAACCAGGUUGAAAUUAUAUCUUUACUUUUACGGUUGAAAUGUCACCAAAUCCUGAUGAAUAUUGUUUUCUAAAUGUUUAAGAUGUGUUCUAUUGCCAAUAUGUAUGUCUGGAUGUUGUAUUCAGAUCAUAGUGUUAAUACCUGUACUUUCACUUUAAGAGUGUCGCAGGCUUUGUGGCGUCAUUCACGCGCUUCUUUCAGUUUGCGCCAGACUAGCUGAGAGGAGGAGCUUGAGACCUGUAUAUUGUGUGGAGGAGACUGCAUGUGACAGAGCCUUAUAUUUUUGUUGUUUAUUUGUACAGGUAUGUGUAUAAUGUUCAUUAUAAUUCAUCUGGCAUAGUGUUUACAUUGGUUGUAUUAAGCAUGUAAAAGAAAUUCAUGUUGUCAACUACAUUGAGCAUUUUAUAAUUUAUUCAGUUCAUUUUCACAUUU